GUCACUGAGAAAACGGAAGGUUG
rnacentral:piRNA from 1 species